rnacentral:rRNA from 1 species
GACGAACGCUGGCGGCGUGCUUAACACAUGCAAGUCGAACGGAAAGGCCCUGCUUUUGUGGGGUGCUCGAGUGGCGAACGGGUGAGUAACACGUGAGUAACCUGCCCUUGACUUUGGGAUAACUUCAGGAAACUGGGGCUAAUACCGGAUAGGAGCUCCUGCUGCAUGGUGGGGGUUGGAAAGUUUCGGCGGUUGGGGAUGGACUCGCGGCUUAUCAGCUUGUUGGUGGGGUAGUGGCUUACCAAGGCUUUGACGGGUAGCCGGCCUGAGAGGGUGACCGGACACAUUGGGACUGAGAUACGGCCCAGACUCCUACGGGAGGCAGGAGUGGGGAAUAGUGCACAAUGGGCGGAAGGCUGAUGCAGCAACGCCGCGGGCGGGAUGACGGCCUUCGGGUUGUAAACCGCUUUCGCCUGUGACGAAGCGUGAGUGACGGUAAUGGGUAAAGAAGCACCGGCUAACUACGUG